CCCCAGCGGCCCAGAGACAAGGUGGGCGGUGCGUCGCAGAACCGGAAAGCAGCCACAGGCUGACCCCGGCUUUCUGUGUGGCUGGAGGGGGAGGCGGCCCCCUAGUGGCAAAGGUCCGCACAGGGGCCGAAGUUCAACGAGUCCCAGAGACUAAAGGUGACCUUCCUGCCCUGGGUUCUGAUGCCGCCUCCCACGACCGGGGGCCGUGCCGGCUGGGGGUGCCCCAAGAUCUCCUGGAGCAGGAUCGCUUCCUCACUGUGGCCCCUCUGCAAACUUCACGCUCCUUACCUGCACUGACGCGAGAGCAACAGAGGAGUCAAUUGCCCCCAGCUCCUGAUAGCAAGUAACAUUGAUUAGCCGGCUCCUGCAAAGGGCGAUGUGUUACCUGCAGUCAACAGGAGUUUGGAAACGAGGGGUCCCCCUUCUGACAGAUAAUCAGAAAGUCACAAGUAGCCUAACACUACGUCGAAAUGCCCACGUUGCUCCCUCACUUCAUCUCCUCACACAGGCAUUUUAUCAUCUCACAUCGUUACAAGAAAGGUCUACACCAUCCAAUAUGGCAGCCACGACUCAUGUGUGCUAGUCCCAGUUGAGCAAGUAUAACGAGCACAUCGGCUUCUGAAGACUUAAUACAAAAAAAAA